AUGACAUGGUGUGGGCAUUUGUGGAUUAAGUCUUUGAGUCUCUCCCAAGUCUCGUGGAAUAUUUUUCCAUCCAUCUGGAAAAAAUUGGUAAUGACUUUUCUAAUUUG